ensembl:lncRNA
CACCGUUUGACUUCUUUACGGGGUCCUUGUAUAACGUGCGCUUCAUAAAUUCACCUCUUGUGACCGUUCAAGCCCACAGAAAAAGUCUGCCUUGGUGAAGUGCACUGCUGGAACUUAGCCUACAUCGUCUUUUAUCUUUGGUUUCAUAAUCACACAUGUGGAAUUGAGCCUCGGACUAUUCGGCAUAUUGAACCGUCGGCCCAAGACGCCUCCUUUUUGACAAGUCGGACAAACGGACCUUCGGACCAAGGGGUUCCGUUUUCGGAACAUUGAACCGUCAGCAUAGUGGCAUGUCGAUCUAAUGGGAAAUAUUUCGGACCAUUGAGACGUCGGAACAAUGAGGCGUCGGAAUUACGGCAUGGCACCCAUGGAAUAACGUAUCAUCUUUAACGUUAACUUAGAUGUCAACUAGCCUAGAUGUCAACGGCUAACUUCCUACUCACCUCAACCUCGUGUCUCACUGAAGAAAGAAGUAAUCGUAAAAAGGUUCACUGGUUCAGCCAUCGUUGUUUGUUUUGAUGUUCGACGGAGCGGUUGGACCCGGAAGUUUUAUUUUGGUGCCCCACUCCGCACUCUGCAACCAGGUGUGUGCGGAGUGAUUCCGAAUCGCACACGCUGCCUGCAACCAGGUAUGUAUGUGCGGAGGGGAUCCGAAUCGCACACCUACCUCCGCUGCCUGCCCUGCAUUGGCCGGCCCACAAUGCUUGUGUAGCCUAUAUAUACGAGCGCUCAAUAUUAUCCUCACCACCAAAACGUCCUGCCUCUCUCCUUGUGUGCGCUUCUGAUCAACGGCUGAAUGGCUCUCCUCUCCCGCCACGAGACCAGAGGUUCUGAGUCCACCGUCCGGACCCGGAGGAGGACCUGCUGGACCCGGAGGAGUACCUGCUGGCCCCGGAGGAGGACCUGCUGGCCCCGGAGGAGUAGCCUACCUGCUGGCCGCGGAGGAGGACCUGCUGGACCCGGAGGAGGACUGGCCGCUAGACCGCGCCGACGACGCCGGUUAAGCAUGGACCAGCCGCCUUCAUUGGAAGCGGAUUCGACCGGAGCGGAUCAACGCGUGGACGUCUACGCACACACACACUUCUUUGGUGGCUUAGCAAGAAAAAUAAUUGCGUUUAUGUGUAAACUCACCUCCAUGCAAUGAUGAACAAAGAACAAAGACAAUAAAACUUUCCAUUUAGCCUCUAGCGAUAUAAACCGGGGUCCCCACUCACAAACGUCCUAUGCUUAAUAAUCUUUUCCAAUCGAUUAAUCAUUUAGUGCCACUGCCAGUGAAAUAAGAAAUUGCGCUAGCGUUACAUUUUAGGUUAAAUAUUGACAUUGUUAAGAUCCUCGAAGUCCGUUCUUGUGUAAACUCACCUCCAUGUAAUGAUGAACACUGACAAUAAAAGACCCGUUGAUUAUU